rnacentral:rRNA from 1 species
UGAGGAAUAUUGGACAAUGGGCGCAAGCCUGAUCCAGCCAUGCCGCGUGCAGGAUGACGGUCCUAUGGAUUGUAAACUGCUUUUGUACAGGAAGAAACAGUUCUACGUGUAGAACCUUGACGGUACUGUAAGAAUAAGGAUCGGCUAACUCCGUGCCAGCAGCCGCGGUAAUACGGAGGAUCCAAGCGUUAUCCGGAAUCAUUGGGUUUAAAGGGUCCGUAGGCGGUUAGAUAAGUCAGUGGUGAAAGCCCAUCGCUCAACGGUGGAACGGCCAUUGAUACUGUCUGACUUGAAUUAUUAGGAAGUAACUAGAAUAUGUAGUGUAGCGGUGAAAUGCUUAGAGAUUACAUGGAAUACCAAUUGCGAAGGCAGGUUACUACUAAUGGAUUGACGCUGAUGGACGAAAGCGUGGGUAGCGAACAGGAUUAGAUACCCCUUAGUCCCUGAGCGGGCUGGCAAGGCGCAU